UUGCUGCAAUUCUGAAAUCAUUGACAAUCUGGGGAAUUUCAUCAGUCCGUAAUCGCCUCGGAGGUGAGAAGUCCGCAACAUCUACUCCACUAGCUUGCAGUUGUGGUGUCAACGCCUUAUCAGUACAGGAGAUUGGAGGUUGUCCAUUUGGCUGAAAACCUGUAAACAUUUGCAAAUAAUAAACCAUUACAUGGUGCCCAAUGCCAUCACAUGAAUAUCAAAAUUCACCAGAAAAGAAUCACGUGGGGCCAUGCUAUCUGGAAAUAAAGUUACAAAACAAACUUUGGGUAUCAAAAAGUAGUAUUUGUCUGGAUUCAAAACCUACGUUUUCCUUUUAUAUAAUUUGGCUAGAACCCUUACAUCAUAGCAUGCAGCAAUAAAGUAUCGGAGAUAAGAAUUCAGACAUUAGGGCAUUGAUUUUUCAAUCAUCCAUUCACUAUUGAAUUUUCAUGUAAAUGUCACUGAAUUUGGUCACAGAAAGAGAAGACUAAAUGGAGGUGUUGUGCGAGAAGAAGAAGAAACCUGUAUUUGAAACCCUUCCAACAUGCGCAAUCUGACAAAAGAAAAUUCCACCUUUCGCAUGAACAGCAUCAACAAUGGGUUUCCAGGCCUCAACUUGCUCUUUCGUCCAUAUACCAGGUGUAUAUUGAUACCUUCAUUGUUAUUUUUUUUUGGGGGGGGCGAUAAUUUUGGUUUAGGGGUUUAUUAAAAGAGUAGAGAGCGCAAAAUUUCAACUUUUUGAGAUUGAUUACCCUUGAGCUGUAUCAGAAACUCCAGUACCCUCAGCCAGCAAAAGACCUCCUUUGGAAGCUCUCUGGGAAUAGUAUAGAAUGGCAUGUGGUUGAGGAACAUUAUUGUAAGAUCUUUGUCUAGUCAAUGGAGCCAAUACAAUUCUGAAACAAGACAAAGAGAGGUAAAAUUAUGAAGCUAGUCAGUCAAUUAACUUUAAUAUUUUACAGAAAAAAAAAGUUACGCGAAGUGGGAUUUUCAACUAAACAAAAAUAUGCUGGCUCAUUAGGAAAUGAGGGUUGAGAUUUUGCAUCAGAAAUUAUACAAACAAUAUAAUGGGAACCAAAAAGCUAGAAAGAAGGCAAAACUGCUGUUAUUGAGAAAUCAGAAAAGGGGUUUGUUGCAAUAAUUACCUAUGAGAAAGAUUGAAUUUGCCAAGUUUGAAGGGGGCGAGAAGAGGUUGAAUGGUGGUAUCUUCCAUUUCAAUUAAAUUGAAGAGGUUGAAUGGGUAUAAAUUGAUUCUGCUUUUAAGAAGGAAUUAAAACACUUGUUUAGGUUAUGCAAAUUUGCCGAGAUAUGGAGUGGGAUAAUGGGAGGAGGGGUAUAUAUAAUAAAGCAGGAAGAAAGGGAAACUAGAUGGUGACGAGGGAGAGUACGUUAGCAGUGUGUUGUUAUUUACCUUCUGGGUUUUGCAUCUUUUGGCGGCCGCCUGUUUACCAAACGCUACACUUCCUUUAAAACCUUUACCUAUGCUUUUCAAAUGAAACCGGUUGUAAUGGUAAUCAUCUAUUUUUAAUUUCAUCGUUUUUAUUGGAUAAAUAUUUUAAAAAAUACAAUUAAGCUAAUCUUUUAUUUGGAAUUCAUCAACCAGCUCGAUCAAUCAAUCUGAUUCAAUUCCGAAAGCAAUGACCUUUACACAAAAUAGCAUCUUAGUAUGUUUAUAAUUUACCAAAUUCUCGGUAAAAGUGUUAUAGAGACAUCUGUAUUAAUAGUUAGAUUGCAUUUUACUCUCUUUACUAAAAAAUGGUAAAUUUGUAUUUGUAGAGCAAAUUGGUAUUUUUGUUAUAAAUUUAUCGAUUUUUACUGUAAAAAAAAACUUUCAUAGUUCACAAAAUAACCAGACAAUUAAAUGUAACUUGCCAAUGUAUCAGGUUAUAAUGUAUAGGGCGAAAUUUUAACACUAAAAAUGAAUAGAAUAACCAAUUUACUUUUUGAUCAAACAUAUAAUGACCAAUUUAUCCAUUUUUUAGUAAAGAGGACAAAAUAGGUAAAAGCACCAUAAAACCCCCUAUACUAUACUCUAGAUUGCAUUUUAGCCCAUUUAUUGAAAAAUGGACAAAUUAAUCCAUGUUCAUUAGAUGAGGGAGCAAAACGACCCCUCCAUUAAAAGUUGAUGUUUAUAUAUAAGGUAUAAUAAUAAAUUUAACAUUUAAUCUUUACACGUUUAUUCAAUUUGAUUCUUACCCUUUUAUUGGAAGUAAAAUUAGAAUUUUUUUUAAACUACUAAGGCUAAAGGAUGAAAAGGCCUCAAUAACAAAUUUAAAAAAAAAAUUAAAAAAUCAUAAAUUUUAAAAAGAAAUUAUACAAAUUUUAAAUAAAAUAUAUAUUUUUUAAAAAUAACCUUUGGGUCAAUAUUAUUAUUUAAUAAAAAUUUAUAUUAUAUAUAUUUAUAAUUUUUAUGAUUGUUUAAAUAAAUAUAACUUUUAAAAGGGUUUAUUGAUUUUUUAAAAAUUUGUUAUUAAGGCAUUUUUUACACUUUGAUUUUAUUGAUUUUAAAAUUUUCUAAUUUAUUUCUAAUAAAAAGGUAGAGGUCAAUUGAAUAAAUUUGUAAAUGUUUAAAAGAUUAAAUUUGUUAUUAUACCUUAUAUAUAAACACUAAAUUUUAACGGAUGAACUAUUUUGCUCGAUCAUGUAACGUAUAUAGAUUAAUUUUCCCUAUUUUUUCAAUACAUGAACUAAUAUACAAUCUAAAAUAUAGUUGAUAGGGUUUUUGGAUACAUUUACCAACAAAAUAUAAUCCGGCAGAAAAUAUGAAUAGUCAACUAAUUGAGGACAACAAGAUGCGGCUUUUUUACUCCAAUAAUACAAAAAAAAAAAACCUCAAAUGGUAUGCCCAUGAGAUUAUUUUUUAAAAUUUUUAACCGUUAACUGAACUGAAAUUUUUUUAAAAAAAUUAACCGAACCGAAAUUUUUCCGGUUUAUUCGGUCGGUUAACUGAAUUAACCGAAAAUUAUAUGUUUUUUUAUUUUUGGUUAAAAAUUAACCGAAUUAACCAAAUUACCCGAAUUACCCGAAUUAACCAAAUUAUCCGAAUUACUCGAAUUACCCAAAUUGAAUCCCUACAUUAUUAAAUUAUUUUUAGACUUUUAGACUUUAGUUUUAGUUUUAGUUUUGGAAUUUUAUUUUUAUUUAUUAAAUUAUUUGUAAUUUUUAUGAUUGGGUUGGGUUGGGUUGAAUACUUGGGUUUGGAUUGGGUUUAGGUGAAUAGUGGGCCUAUUUAAAUAUUAUAAUUUUAUUUAUUAAUUUUUUCAGUUAAACCAAAAAAAUCGGUUAACCGACCAGUUUCGAACCGAAUUAACCGUUAAUCGAAAAAUUAAAAAAUAAUUAACCGAUCCCCGACCGAAAAAAUUCGGUUAACUGACCGAUUAACCGAAUUCGGUCGGUUAACCGAAUUUUUUCAGUUUUACUCGAAUUUUUGCUUUUUGUAUAUAUAUAUAUAUAUAUAUAUAUANNNNNNNNNNNNNNNNNNNNNNNNNNNNNNNNNNNNNNNNNNNNNNNNNNNNNNNNNNNNNNNNNNNNNNNNNNNNNNNNNNNNNNNNNNNNNNNNNNNNNNNNNNNNNNNNNNNNNNNNNNNNNNNNNNNNNNNNNNNNNNNNNNNNNNNNNNNNNNNNNNNNNNNNNNNNNNNNNNNNNNNNNNNNNNNNNNNNNNNNNNNNNNNNNNNNNNNNNNNNNNNNNNNNNNNNNNNNNNNNNNNNNNNNNNNNNNNNNNNNNNNNNNNNNNNNNNNNNNNNNNNNNNNNNNNNNNNNNNNNNNNNNNNNNNNNNNNNNNNNNNNNNNNNNNNNNNNNNNNNNNNNNNNNNNNNNNNNNNNNNNNNNNNNNNNNNNNNNNNNNNNNNNNNNNNNNNNNNNNNNNNNNNNNNNNNNNNNNNNNNNNNNNNNNNNNNNNNNNNNNNNNNNNNNNNNNNNNNNNNNNNNNNNNNNNNNNNNNNNNNNNNNNNNNNNNNNNNNNNNNNNNNNNNNNNNNNNNNNNNUACUUGCUUUUGUGAUCACAUAUAAUUGAACUGCGUUGCCACACUAUUGAUCAUUCAAUGCAAUUUGCCCAAAGUGUAUUAAGGUGUGUCACCGUGACUGUCCCCAUCUCUUUUCUUGCUCUUUUAAUUAAUUUUUUACUUCAAUUUAAAUUGAUUCAAUAUUUUUUAAAAUCGUUUCAACUAAUAUUGAAUUAAUUUUAAAUUUUGGGUUUAUAUAAUUUUUUUUUAAAGUUUUGGGUUUAUAUUAAUUUGUAUUUGCAGGUUUAAGGAAUUUUUUUAAUUUUAAUUAUUGUGAACUUUUUUUCAUUCACAGAGAAUCGACUCCUUUAAGAGAAGUCUUGUCUUCAAAGUGUUGUCUUCUGGGCAAUUAACUUAGACCAUAAACAAUUGAAGAUGUUGUCCUCAUGUCAGGGUUUUGUUACUAUCCUUCGUGGAGAGCCAUGUACGAUUCAUGAAAGGAGGCGUCUCAAUUGGUGGAGAUCAAUACUUGCAAGACUUGAGAUGACUAUUAGUAUUGAGCGUGUGAAUAACUAUGGAAGUGCCUGAAUGUGUUGUAACUCGAACUACCAAUCAAGGCCUUAAUGUGCAAACCUUGCUCAAGUGGCAUAAUUAUUCACACACCCGAUACUAACACCUAUCUCGAGUUUUGCAGGUAGUCAGGUAGUGAUCUCUACUAACUCAUACAUAACUCUUCAUGGAGGGCGAUGACAAAAUCUUGACAUAAGGAUGACACCUUCGAUUAUUGAUUGGCUACCCAAAGGAUGACACUUAGAAGACAAUACUUCUCUCAGAAAUCUCUUUAUAAACAAUUUGAAAUUUGAGCAAUUGAAGUUUUUUUUUUUUGUUAUAUCUCAAGUAAAUAAUUAAGUGAAUGGAAGUCACGCAAUUAUACUUUUUUCUCGGGUAUUUGAACUUGUUUAAAUCUCGUCAUUGUUAGAAAGGUUUUUAUCUAAAUAUUACCCCGAUCCAAAUAACAUUGAUCUCAAAUCAUAAAUGGAUGAAAGCAACCGUGAUUAUACUUUAACAAAAUUACUACAAUUUGAAUACAAUAAAAUAUUAUUUUUUCUUCUUGGUGAAAAUUACAUGGUCUAAAUAUACUAAACUAUUGAUUGAUUUAUGUGAAUGUACUUGAGAGGUCCUUUUAUUGUAAUGACUUGAUCAAAUUAGUCCUACUAAUAUUAUAUGGAUCAAUUUAGACGUUGUAUAAUUAAAAUUAAUCAAAUAAAAUCAAAUUAGAAUAGAGUUAAUAUUUACUAUUUAAAAAUAUAAUUUGUUGUUUAACAGAGUUAAUACUUUUUUAUUUUUUUAUAAUUCUAUAAAUAAAAUCUUCUAUUUAAAUAACAUUAUGUUUAAAAAAAUAUUUUGAAAAUAUUUUUAUACCAUAAUAUUAACUUUGUUAUAAUUUAAACUUAUAUGAUUUUAUUAAUGCUACAACUCUCCAAAUCAAUAAUUCGUAAGUAUUAAUGUGUGGUUGGAUAGAUUUAAAAAAAAUGUUAAUCAUUAAAUUAGAUGUUAAGACUAUUUAAUCAGUUUGUUCACUAAACUAUCCUUUAUUUAAGAAAAAAAUGAGAAAAUAUGGUCAAAUUUGGAAUCUUGACACAGGUUUACUAACAAAAUUAGAUUUUAAUAUUGAAUAAUAACGGUCCACAAUGUUUUAUUUAGAGAGAAGAAAAGCUACAGUGCUUCACCAUGUACAAGAUGCGAUGCAGGAGCAUCUUAGUUGUCAACAGCUACGGUCCAAAUUGAAGAAAAUAGAUUCAAGUAAUUUCUAUUUGGGCUUUCACAUUUUAAUGAGAAGAUCCAAACUUCACUUAAGCAUUGCCAUUAUCUUCAAGAAAUGGGUAAUCAGUGUAACCAAUGACUGGAUCAGAUGUAUAGAAACUACUCCUGUCAUACUUAUUAAGAGGGGCACCAAGCUCAAAUCUCCUUGGCAAAUCCGGAUUGGCCAAAAACAAUCGACCGUAAGCAACAAGAUCAGCUCGGUUCUCAGCCACAGCAUCGUUUCCAUCAUCUCUACCAUAGCCCCCAGCAGCGAUGAAACUGCCAUUAAAUGCCUUUCUCAUUGGCACAAGACUUUGAGGACUUUCACACACCUCCAUCCCUAUUUUAAUUCUUGGCUCCACCAUAUGGCAGUAGAGAAUUCCGUAUUUGUUCAAGGCCUCAACCAUGUAGAGGCCUAAUGCUUGUGGAUCAGAGUCCACCGACUCCAUGAAUUCUGUGUAGGGAGAUAGCCUUAUUCCGACUUUAUCUGCUCCUAUUUCUUUGGCAACAGCUUCGACUAUCUCUAAGGCAAACCGGCACCGGUUUUCUAAUGAUCCCCCAUAUUGAUCUGUUCGAUCAUUUACUUGAUCUUUCAAAAACUGUUCUAUUAGGUAGCCAUGAGCUCCAUGAAUCUCAACUCCAUCAAAACCUAUAAAUCAGCCACCAAAAUUAGCACCCAUUUUAUAAUUUUAGCGAAUCCGAGACAUCCUCUAAGGUUUUUUAUUCAGAAUCUAGGAAAAAGAACAUACCAGCUUCCAUAACAUUCCUUGCUGCAAUUCUGAAAUCAUUGACAAUCUGGGGAAUUUCAUCAGUCCGUAAUCGCCUCGGAGGUGAGAAGUCCGCAAUAUCUACUUCACUAGCUCGCAGUUGUGGUGUCAACGCCUUAUCAGUAGAGGAGAUUGGAGCUUGUCCAUUUGGCUGCAAACCUGUAAACAUUUGCAAAUAAUAAACCGUUACAUGGUGCCCAAUGCCAUCACAUGAAUAUCACAAUUCACCAGAAAAGAAUCACGUGAGGCCAUGCUAUCUGGAAAUAAAGUUACAAAACAAACUUUGGGUAUCAAAAAGUAGUAUUUAUCUGGAUUCAAAACCUACGUUUUCCUUUUAUAUAAUUUGGCUAGAACCCUUACAUCAUAGCAUGCAGCAAUAAAGUAUCGGAGAUAAGAAUUCAGACAUUAGUGCAUUGAUUUUUCAAUCAUCCAUUCACUUUUGAAUUUUCAUGUAAAUGUCACUGAAUUUGGUCACAGACAGAGAAGACAAAAUGGAGGUGUUGUAAGAGAAGAAGAAGAAACCUGUAUUUGAAACCCUUCCAACAUGCCAAAUCUGACAAAAGAAAAUUCCACCUUUCGCAUGAACAGCAUCAACAAUGGGUUUCCAGGCCUCAACUUGCUCUUUCGUCCAUAUACCAGGUGCAUCUGGAUACCUUCAUUAAUUUGGGGAAGGGGUGUGUCAUUAAAUUGAUAUUUGAGGUUUAGAAAAAAAAGAGAGCAAAAUUUCAACUUUUUGAGAUUGAUUACCCUUGAGCUGUAUCAGAAACUCCAGUAGCCUCAGCCAGCAAAAGACCUCCUUUGGAAGCUCUCUGGGAAUAGUAUAGAAUGGCAUGUGGUUGAGGAACAUUAUUGUAAGAUCUUUGUCUAGUCAAUGGAGCCAAUACAAUUCUGAAACAAGACAAAGAGAGGUAAAAUUAUGAAGCUAGUCGAUCGAUUGCCAUUGGUAUUUUACAGCAAAAAAGUUAUGCGAAGUGGGAUUUUCAGCUAAACAAAACUAUGCUGAUUCAAUAGGAAAUGAGGGUUGAGAUUUUGCAUCAGAAAUUAUACAAACAAUAUAAUGGGAACCAAAAAGCUAGGAAGAAUGCAAAACUCCUGUUACUGAGAAAUCAGAAAAAAGGGUUUGUUGCAGUAAUUACCUAUGAGAAAGAUUGAAUUUGCCAAGUUUGUAGGGGGUGAGAAGAGGUUGAAUGGUGGUAUCUUCCAUUUCAAUUAAAUUGAACAAAUGGGUAUAAAUUGAUUCUGCUUGUAAGGAGUUAAAACACUUGUUUUGGUUAUGCAAAUUUGCCGAGAUAAGGAAGGGGAUAAUGGGUGGAGGGGCAUAUAUAAUAAAGCGGGAAGAAAGGUAAUGUAGAUGAUGACGAGGGAGAGUACGUUAGCAGUGUGUUCUAGUUUGCCAUUUUUGGUUUUGCAUCUUUAGGCGCAGCCCUGUUGACCAACGCUACACUCCCUCGCCCCUGCUUCCUUUAAAACCAAAAUGAAACCAGUGGUAAUCAUCUAUUUUUAAUUUCAUCGGUUUUAUUGCAUAAAUAUUAAAAAAAAACUGUAUAUUAAAAAAAAAAAAAGACACGGAUACAAUAUUAAUAACAUAUUAAUUUCAAAAAAAUAAUAUUUGAAAAAUAACUUUUACACAAAGUAGCAUAUUAAUAUGUUCAUAAUUUACUAAAUUCUCUAUAAAAGUAUUACAUGCCUUUGUAUUAAUAGUCUGAUUGCGUUCUACUCUUUUUACUAAAAAAUAGAAUUUUUUUUUAUGUUAGAUGAAAAAACAAAUUGAUAUUUUUGUUAAAAAUUUUUAUCCAUUUUUACUAUAAAAAAACUUGCAUAGCUCAUAAAAUAACCAGGCAAUUAAAUGUGACUUGCCAAUGUAUAACAUUUUGUAUAAGGAAUAAUUUUUAACCGUAGAUUGCGUUGUAUCCCCACAAAACCCCCUGUACUAUAUUGUGAAUUGCAUUUUUUCCCCUCCACUGAAAAAAUAAACAAAUUAACCCAUGCACGUUAGAUGAGGUAGCAAAACGACCAUUCCGUUAAAAUUUGAAGUUUAUAUAUAAGGUAUGAUAACAAAUUUAACCCUCAAUCUUUACAUAUUUAUUUAAUUUAAUCCCGACUCUUUUGUUGGAAGUAAAUUAAAAAAAAUUUAAACUAAUAAAGUUAAAGGGUCAAAAGCCUUAGCAAAUUUUUUUAAUAAAAUAGGAAAAGGGCAAAUAACCAAUAAAAUCCCCUUUAUUUUUAAAAUUACCGAAAUGGGUCAGGUCCUAAAUUAAAUACCAAAAUGGACCAUUUCUCCCAAAAAUGCGUCCACGUCAUCGCAUUAUCAGGGGAUAAAGCAGGAAAACGCUUCCUUGAGGGCGCGCUUUGUGUCCACGUGGACAAAGCGCUUCCCUGAGGAAGCACUUUUUCUGUUUGUUAGGGUUUAGGAUUUUUUACAAUUAGGGUUAGGAUUUUGGAGUUUUUGAGUUUUUAGAUUUUAGGGUUUUAAGGAAAAAUUAAUUAAAUAAAGGUUUAGGGUUUCUUAAUUAAAUUAAUUAUAAAUUUUAAAAAAUUUAUAAAUUAUUUAUAAAUUAUUUAUUAAGUCUAACUUUAUUUAAAUAUAGUUAAAUAUUAAUUACAAUUAUUAUAUUUUUUCUCGAAUUUUGAUUUUAAACAUCUAUAGUUUAAAAAAUAUAUUAAAUAUUAAAAUAUUAAAAUUUAUGUUAAAUUCUACUAAAUAAAGUUAUUAAUACCUAUUUAUAAAUCAUUCACUAACAAUCAAUAAAAUAUUUACCCAUCAUCUUAAGACCUUAAGGAAUUAUUAUCCCUAAAAUAUUCUAUUAUUAAUAUGAUUGUAUUAUAUUAAAUUUCAUGUAUUUUUUUUUGCAUAUUAUAUUAUAUUAAUAUUUUUAAUUUAUAAUAAAUUUAAAAUUAUAGCAAAAGAUAAAUUUAAUAUAUAUAUAUAUAUAUAAACUUUUAACUAUUUUUCUGUUUUUCAUAAAAAAAACUCUUUUUCUAUUUUAAAAUUUAAAAAUACAAAAAUUCUUUAUAUAUUUUAUUUUUAAUUUAUUAUUAAAAAAUUCUUUUAAUAAAUUUAAUUUUUACUAAAAAAUUUAAUUUUAUUAGUUUAUUUUUUUAGAAUAGUUUAAAAUAUAUAUUGAAUAACAUCUAGUUUUAUUUGAUUUUUUGUUAAAACCCUAAAUACUAAACCCCAAUCUAAAUUUUUUAAAAUUUAUAAUUAAUUUACUCAAGUAACUCUAAACCCUAAUUUAUUUGUUUUUUCCUUAAAAACCCUAAACACUAAACCGUAAUCUAAUUUUUUUAAAGUUUAUAAUUAAUUUAUUUGCCCUAGUUAAACUCUUUUAAAAUUUAAAAAUGAUUGAAAAAUCAUAAAAAAUAAAAAAGUUAUUAAAUUAUUAAAUAUAAGAUUUAAAAAAAAUUGACCCCUACGUCAUUUCAUUGAUAAGCAAGCCUAACGUCAUUGAUGAGAUAGUCCAUCCCUUAGCCGCCAAUGACCACCUUUGCUUUUAUGAUCCCACUUAAAUUUAAAUUGUAAUAUUUUUAGAACGAAUCGGUUGAAAUAACACUGAAUUGAUUUUAAAGUUUAAGUUUAUAUGAUUUUUUUUCCAAAAAAAGACUUUGGGUUCAUAUUAGUUUGUGUUUGUAGGUUUAAGGGUUUUUUUUUUAGUUUUGAUUAUUAUGAAUUUUUUUGUGUUGAUGGAGGAACCGAUUUUUAUAGGAUAAGUCAUGUCUUCAAAGUGUCGUCUUUGGGGUAGUUGACUCAAACUAGAGAUAAUCAUGGGCCGGGCUGGGCCGGAUUCGAGCUGAGCCCAUAAAAAAUUGUAGCUCGCUUCCUAGGCCCGGGCCCAACUCCUGCCGAAAUAUGGGCCUAAUUUUUUAGACCCGGCCCAAAAAUACUAAGCCCGAGCCCAGCCCGGCCCAACCUUUUUUUUAUGAUAGAAAAAAAUGAUUUUAUUAUUUUAAUAGCCUAUAUUUUUAUAAUUUUUAAAAGAUUAAAUUAACUUUUUUUAUCAUUUGAGGGGCAAAGUGUAAUUUUAGCAUUACUAUUUUAAAAUUUUAUAAAUUAUAAAGAGUUAAAAAAAGAAUUUUUAUUUUUAUUUUAGAGUAGAACCCUUGCCCAAAAAAUAUCAUAUCAACAAAUUUAACAAUACUAAUAAUUAAAAUUAAAUUUUAAAAUUUGAAAUAUAAAAAUUAAAAAUUUUAAAAUAAAAAUAAAAAAGAGGGAAGGGCUUAGGGAAAUGGGAAGUGGGGAGGGGAAAUGAGAAUUUUUUUAAAAUAUAUAUAUUUAUUAUAUUCAGGCUGGGCCAGGCUAGUCUCGGGCCAAAAAAUUUUUGCCUGAGGCCCAGCCUAUUUUUUGCCCAAACCCAUAUUUUGGGCCUACAUUUUUACCCAAAUCCUCCCAUAUUUCGGGCGGGCAGUUGGGCUGAGCCGGGCCGCCCGGCCAUGAUCACCUCUAACUCAAACCAUCAACAAUUGAAUGUAUGUCAGGGUUUUGUCCUCACCCUCCAAUGAGAGCCAUAUAUGGUUCAUGAAAUGGAGGCGCCUUGAUCGGUGGAGAUAGAUACCAACAAGACUUGAGAUAACUGUUAGUGUAAUAGCCCGAUUUUCAGUGAUGUAGGAAACAGUGGUUCGAGACCACCAAAUCCGAAAAAUGAGCUCAUAAAUUUUAUUAUUUAAAAUUUACGAGUAAAAUGAGGUUUUUAAAAGAUUUUUGAAUUAGAAAGUUUGUGGUCAUAAGGAUUUAUUAGAUUAAUUAAUUUGAAAAAGAAGUAUCGAGACCUCAAUGUUAAUUAAUUUGGAAUAGCAAUAAAAUUAAAGGUAAAUCAUAUUAAUUUUCACUCGAUUAUUAAAAACAUUUGUAUAGAUCAUUCGACUUCAAAAAGUUACAAAAUAAUCAUUUAAUUUAUUUAAAAAAAUUAAAUCCAAAAUUGUUAAAUACUUUAACCGUUAUGUUAAUGACUUAUUUUUGUAACAUUCAUUUUUAAUACACAUCAUUUCCAUCUCAUAUAAUAAUUUAAAAAAUAUUAACCCAAAUUACCCACCCGUCCCGCUCCCCUCCAAGCUCCCUCCCUUGGUUCAUGGUGCUGGAGGUCUAAACAAGAAUGUUCCUCCCACGAGUUGAAAUCUUGUGAAAUAAUGUGGAUGAGUUAUCAAAAUUUUAAACUCUGUAAUCUUAAUUAGUAAGAUAAGGUUAUUAUGGAAGAAAAAUGUUAUGACAUAAUUAGAAAGGAAAAAUAUUUUAUAUACUAACACUGCAAAAUAUUAAAAAAUAACUUAUAAAAGUAUCGUAAAAUAUUGUGGAAUAAAAAAAAUUACCAAAAACUUUAGUUUAACUACAAAAUAAAGAAGUUGUUCGUUCUUAAAAAAAUGUUAAUCAUUAAAUUAGAUGUUAAGACUAUUUAAUCAGUUUGUUCACUAAACUAUCCUUUAUUUAAGAAAAAAAUGAGAAAAUAUGGUCAAAUUUGGAAUCUUGACACAGGUUUACUAACAAAAUUAGAUUUUAAUAUUGAAUAAUAACGGUCCACAAUGUUUUAUUUAGAGAGAAGAAAAGCUACAGUGCUUCACCAUGUACAAGAUGCGAUGCAGAAGCAUCUUAGUCGUCAACAGCUACGGUCCAAAUUGAAGAAAAUAGAUUUAAGUAAUUUCUAUUUGGGCUUUCACAUUUUAAUGAGAAGAUCCAAACUUCACUUAAGCAUUGCCAUUAUCUUCAAGAAAUGGGUAAUCAGUGUAACCAAUGACUGGAUCAGAUGUAUAGAAACUACUCCUGUCAUACUUAUUAAGAGGGGCACCAAGCUCAAAUCUCCUUGGCAAAUCCGGAUUGGCCAAAAACAAUCGACCGUAAGCAACAAGAUCAGCUCGGUUCUCAGCCACAGCAUCGUUUCCAUCAUCUCUACCAUAGCCCCCAGCAGCGAUGAAACUGCCAUUAAAUGCCUUUCUCAUUGGCACAAGACUUUGAGGACAUUCACACACUUCCAUCCCUAUUUUAAUACUUGGCUCCACCAUAUGGCAGUAGAGAAUUCCGUAUUUGUUCAAGGCCUCAACCAUGUAGAGGCCUAAUGCUUGUGGAUCAGAGUCCACUGACUCCAUGUAUUCUGUAUAGGGAGAUAGCCUUAUUCCGACUUUAUCUGCUCCUAUUUCACUGGCAACAGCUUCAACUAUCUCUAAGGCAAACCGGCUUCUGUUUUCUAUUGACCCCCCAUAUUGAUCUGUCCGAUCAUUCACUUGAUCUUUCAAAAACUGUUCUAUGAGGAAGCCAUGAGCUCCAUGAAUCUCAACUCCAUCAAAACCUAUAAAUCAGCCACCAAAAUUAGCACCCAUUUUAUAUAAUUUUAACGAAUCCGAGACAUCCUCUUAAGUUUUUUUAUUCAGAAUCUAGGAAAAAGAACAUACCAGCUUCAAUAGCAUUCCUUGCUGCAAUUCUGAAAUCAUUGACAAUCUGGGGAAUUUCAUCAGUCCGUAAUCGCCUCGGAGGUGAGAAGUCCGCAACAUCUACUCCACUAGCUCGCAGUUGUGGUGUCAACGCCUUAUCAGUACAGGAGAUUGGAGGUUGUCCAUUUGGCUGAAAACCUGUAAAUAUUUGUAAAUAAUAAACCAUUACAUGGUGCCCAAUGCCAUCACAUGAAUAUCAAAAUUCACCAGAAAAGAAUCACGUGGGGCCAUGCUAUCUGGAAAUAAAGUUACAAAACAAACUUUGGGUAUCAAAAAGUAGUAUUUAUCUGGAUUCAAAACCUACGUUUUCCUUUUAUAUAAUUUGGCUAGAACCCUUACAUCAUAGCAUGCAGCAAUAAAGUAUCGGAGAUAAGAAUUCAGACAUUAGUGCAUUG
rnacentral:lncRNA from 1 species